rnacentral:rRNA from 1 species
UAGUUUUGGAAUCAAUUUUGGUUCCAGGGCGGAAAGCUCAGUAAUAUGUGGUUAAUCUGCCCUUAGGUUCAGGAUAAUCUUGGGAAACUGAGGCUAAUACUGGAUAGGCAAGGGACGCUGGAAUGCCCCCUUGCUUAAAGAUUUAUCGCCUAAGGAUGGGACUGCAGCAGAUUAGGUUUUUAUGAGAGUAAUGUCCUCAUAAGCCGAUAAUCUGUACGGGCUUUGAGAGAAGAAACCCGGAGAUGGAUUCUGAGACAAGAAUCCAGGCCCUACGGGGCGCAGCAGGCGCGAAACAUUCCCAAUGACCGCAAGGUUGAGGAUGGGAUUCGGAGUGCUACUUCUUUAAGGAGUAGCUUUUGUUAAGUUUAAACCGCUUAUCGAAUAAGUGGUGGGUAAGACGGGUGCCAGCCGCCGCGGUAAUACCCGCGCCACAAGUGAUAGUCUCGAUUAUUGGGUUUAAAGCGUCCGUAGCCGGUUCGUUAAGUUCUUAGUGAAAUACCAUAGCUAACUAUGGUGCUUGCUAGGGGUACUGACAGGCUAGAGAACGGGAGAAGUCUGGGGUAUUCCUGGGGUAGGGGUAAAAUCCUGUAAUCCUAGGAGGACCACCUGUGGCGAAGGCGCCAGACUAGAACGAUUCUGACGGUGAGGGACGAAAGCUUGGGGAGCAAAGGGGAUUAGAUACCCCCGUAGUCCUAGCUGUAAACGAUGCCACUAGUUGUUGGAGUUCUUACGGGGGACUUCAAUGUCGUAGCGAAAGCGUUAAGUGGGCCACCUGGGGAGUACGGUCGCAAGGCUGAAACUUAAGGGAAUUGGCGGGGGAGCACACAAGGGGUGGAGGCUACGGUUUAAUUCGAUUCAACGCGAGGAACCUUACCAGAAGCGACAGCAGAAUGAAGGUCAGGCUGAAGGUCUUACCAGACAAGCUGAGAGGUGUUGCAUGGCCGUCGCCAGUUCGUGCCGUGAGGUGUCCUGUUAAGUCAGGUAACGAACAAGACCCGCGCCCUAUGUUGCUAGGACAUUUUUAUGUCUGCACUCAUAGGGAACCGCUGGUGAUAAGCCAGAGGAAGGUGCGGUCGACGGCAGGUCAGUAUGGCCUGAAUCUUCUGGGUUACACGCGGCCUACAAUGGACGGAAUAAUGGGACGCGACCCCGAAAGGGGGAGCUAAUCUUUAAAUCCGUUCCCAAUCCGAAUUGAGGGCUGCAACCCGCCCUCAUGAAGUCGAAAUCCCUAGUAGUCGCUGGUCAUCAUCUAGCGGCGAAUAAGUUCUUGCUCCUUGCACACACUGCCCGUCAAGCCAUCCGAGUGGAGUUUCGGUGAUGCUUUGGUUUUUGCCAGAGUCGAGCCGCGGUUUCGCAAGGAGGGCUAAGUCGUAACAAGGUA